UGAGGAAUAUUGGACAAUGGGCGAAAGCCUGAUCCAGCAAUACCGCGUGAGUGAAGAAGGCCUUAGGGUUGUAAAGCUCUUUCAGUAGGGAAAAUAAUGAUGGUACCUACAAAAGAAGUUCCGGCUAACUCCGUGCCAGCAGCCGCGGUAAUACGGAGGGAACUAGCGUUGUUCGGAUUUACUGGGCGUAAAGGGCGCGUAGGCGGCUUAGUAAGUUAGAAGUGAAAGCCCGGGGCUUAACCCCGGAACUGCUUCUAAAACUGCUAAACUAGAGUGCGGGAGAGGAUAAUGGAAUUCCUAGUGUAGAGGUGAAAUUCUUAGAUAUUAGGAGGAACACCAGUGGCGAAAGCGAUUAUCUGGAACGCAACUGACGCUGAGGCGCGAAAGCGUGGGGAGCAAA
rnacentral:rRNA from 1 species